UCUUAAAGCCGUUCUCAGUUCGGAUUGUAGGCUGCAACUCGCCUACAUGAAGUCGGAAUCGCUAGUAAUCGCGGAUCAGCAUGCCGCGGUGAAUACGUUCCCGGGCCUUGUACACACCGCCCGUCACACCAUGAGAGUUUGUAACACCCAAAGCCGGUGGGGUAACCUUUUGGAGCCAGCCGUCUAAGGUGGGACAGAUGAUUGGGGUGAAGUCGUAACAAGGUAGC
rnacentral:rRNA from 1 species